rnacentral:rRNA from 1 species
GACGAACGCUGGCGGCGUGCCUAAUACAUGCAAGUCGAACGCAGUGGGGACGGGUGAGUAACACGUGGGUAACCUCCCAUCAGAGGGGAUAACACUUGGAAACAGGUGCUAAACCGAUACUGAUGGAUGGACCCGCGGUGCAUUAGCUAGUGGGUGAGGUAACGGCUCACAAAGGCCACGAUGCAUAGCCGGCCUGAGAGGGUGUUCGGACACACUGGGACUUGGAGCCGGCCCAGACUCCGACGGGAGGCAGCAGUAGGGAAGCUUCGGCAAUGGACGAAAGUCUGACCGAGCAACGCCGCGUGAGUGAAGAAGGUUUUCGGAUCGUAAAACUCUGUUGUUGGAGAAGCGGUAUCUAACCAGAAAGCCACGGCUAACUACGUGCCAGCCGCCGCGGUAAUUC